rnacentral:rRNA from 1 species
GACGAACGCUGGCGGCGUGCCUAAUACAUGCAAGUUGAGCGCUGAAGGUUGGUACUUGUACCAACUGGAUGAGCAGCGAACGGGUGAGUAACGCGUGGGGAAUCUGCCUUUGAGCAGGGGACAACAUUUGGAAACGAAUGCUAAUACCGCAUAAAAACUUUAAACACAAGUUUUAAGUUUGAAAGAUGCAAUUGCAUCACUCAAAGAUGAUCCCGCGUUGUAUUAGCUAGUUGGUGAGGUAAAGGCUCACCAAGGCGAUGAUACAUAGCCGACCUGAGAGGGUGAUCGGCCACAUUGGGACUGAGACACGGCCCAAACUCCUACGGGAGGCAGCAGUAGGGAAUCUUCGGCAAUGGACGAAAGUCUGACCGAGCAACGCCGCGUGAGUGAAGAAGGUUUUCGGAUCGUAAAACUCUGUUGGUAGAGAAGAACGUUGGUGAGAGUGGAAAGCUCACCAAGUGACGGUAACUACUCAGAAAGGGACGGCUAACUACGUG